rnacentral:tRNA from 2 species
AUCUGUAGCUCAGUGGAUAGAGCAAUGGCCUCCGGAGCCGUGUGCGUAGGUUCGAUUCCUAUCAGAUGC